UCUCUCACGAAUUCUCUCUCUCCUUGGUCUCUGCACUGAAAGCUGUCGAUGAAGAUGUACAUUUGAAGCCUCUCUCCUUGCUCUCUCCACUUAAUUGAAGGCUCUCCAUGGAAAUUUUUUGAGGGCUCUCGAGUAGGGUUUGAAGGUUGAUUAUACCAGAUUUGCGUUUCUCUCCUUCUAUUCACAAAUCUGGCGUGGGAAAAGCAUACAAUGAGUUGAAACAAGGAGAGCCAACAAUUGAACGCUUGUUUGAUUUGACCAGGUUCCAAUCCAAGUCACUCAAGCUAUUUCAGCCCAGGUACAUAAUUGUAAAUUACCUUGAUUUUUUUAUUAUUGUCUUCCUCUUUCAAGGUCCUCGUCUAGGGUUUUCAUCUCAUUACAUAAAUCUGAAGAAAGGAAAAAGUUUCAGCCAUGAGUAAGCUUCAGAGUGAUGCCUUGAGGGAAGCCAUUACCAAAGUCUCUCUCUGUACUCGUGUAUAUAUGUAUGCUUAUAAUUGUUUGUACUUUAGUAUCUGUGAUUAUGGCAUUGAUGGUGUUUCUAUUGACAAGUUGCAGUUAAAUUGGCUCAAUGUUCAACUUGAAAAAUGUCUCUUGUUUCAAGCAUUUGACCUCUGCGAGAAGUCGGUGCUACAUUCUAACAUUCUCUUCUUCUGUGUUUCUCAUGGCAUAUCUGCCUAGCCUUGCUCUUUCCCCUGGCAUCAACCACAGCCACAUCCCCCUCCGGCACCAUCUCCUUCUCUGCCUACCCCAACCCUCACCACCAAACACUAUCACCUCUUUCCACUUCAUUGUCUAUUCCCAACAGCCGAACACCACACCAACCACGGUUCCAACGCUACCACCACAAAAACAACCCACCACCAAAGCCUCUAUCAACACCACCACAAUCUAAUCACCACCAACAUUAAACUCAGUAGCUAGUAUACGGAUGAAUUAACCAAAAUUCUUCUAGUGAUGAUUAGAGUCGAUUACUUGAUAUUUUAAUAACUCAGUACUUUUCAUUUUUUACACUACUCUUUGGUUCUUCUCAGUCAAACUCGAAGAACAACUGACAAGCAAGUAUUAAAGCAACUCAGACCUUUGAUUGUUAAUAGAGAGGUCAUAAUAAUGUUGUCUGAAUGGAAGAGAGGGGGAAGAUGCAUAGGGCGGUACUGUGGGGAAGUUGGAGGUGGGUUCGGUGGUGGAGUGAGUUUAAUGGUGGUGAUCCUGUGGAUGGAGAUCUCCAUUCAUGUCCUUGGUUUGUAUUGAAAUAGUGUUAAUUGUGAAGCUAUAGAGAAAGAAGGAUGGGUCGGAUUGGCAUUGG